rnacentral:lncRNA from 12 species
AAAUAAAUAAAUAAAUAAAUAAAUAAAUAAAUAAAUAAAUAAAGAGUUACAGAAACUCAGAGUUGAUUUCUUCUGUGUGGUAUAUAAGGAGUUAUAUCCCAGACCUCAGUUCCACACAAGAAGAGAAACAUCACUCUUAAACCAACUGGUCAUGAGGAUGACUAUAUAAGUUUCAGACAGAUGUUUAAAAAAAGAGAGAGAAAGAAAGAAGCCAGAUGGAAGUAUUAAAGGCAGGAACCAAAUUAAGCCCAAGAUUACCCAGGAAGAUAAAGAGAUGACUAGGAGAAUAACAGCUAGUGCUGACCGGAGUCGGAGCACAGCCAGCCAGCCCGUGCAGACGGACGUGGCCCAGACUUGGCUUAAACCCAAAACAAGCACAAAGCACCCAUAUCCAGAGCAGCCAGGGAAUGAACUGUGUGCUAAGCAACUGAAUCAUCACAUGCUACGGUAAUGUCUACAGACCAUUCUGAGGAAGAAUGCUUUAAGAAUAAGAAGAAAUCUCAUAUUGUUGGGCAGGAUGAACCCCAUAUACUCUUGCCCAGAGGCAAGAGACAAGGCAACAGUGGAUAAAAUACAACUUUGACACACACACCCUGGACGGUCUUCAAUACAAUUUCAAAGGAAGUAAAGUAUGUAAAGAAAAAACAAUUUUAUAGUGUCACCGCCCCUCCCCUCCAAAAAGAAAACUAGAUCAAAGGGUUUCUAUUGUAGAGUUUCAAAAAUGUUAGUCUUACUUAAACAUUCUCUGGCCUGAAUGAACCUAUCCCAUAAUACUCAGUGUCCUAGAGUCAAGCCUCUGACGUCUUAGGGGAUAUCAGCUACCAAAAAUCCCUCCCCUGUGAAUUUGAAUGGUGGUUGUUUCCAGCUUGUUUUCUCAUGGGGCUAAGACUUAAGAAUAAGUGCUAAUUUAUCUAAUUGGUUUGCUUGCUGUGUGCAGCACAGAAAUGCCACAAAAUGCCACACAUCUUGCUAAACACUCACAAACCUGACUAUGACCAGUAUCUCAUAUAUUCCUCCGCAGUGAGUUGUGGAGGAACCAGCUGGAGAGGAUCCUUCAGGUCCCUGUCAGCCCUGUCAGAUGAUGUUACCCACCAUCCUGCAAGACCUCCUUUGACUCUGACUCAAACUGAAACAAGUGGUCCUAUAUCACUCUGUUGGAUGACUCCAAAGACAGCACUCCUGCAUCACCCUCAAAAGGAUUCUUUUAUCAUGUGGCCUUGAUUGCUCCAAAUCUUGUCACAUUUCCUUUUUGUUUCAUAUUUGGAAACAUGACUUUCUUGUACUUUUUGUGUUUGAUUUGGUUUGGAGGACAAAGAGGAGGAGAUGUUUAAUUAUCUUGUUUUCUCCUUGAUUUACAAGGAUAUAUAUACUUAUAUAUAUAUACACAAAAGAUAUACAUGCUUCUAUCAAAUCCCAAAAUUGACUCUCAACCAUGUAACAAAAUCUACUUUCCCCAAGAUACUUCUUCUCUAGACCUGCACAACUAAUAACCUGGAGUCUUCUCAUCCUGGGUUCUCCUACACCAACUAUCUGGCUGAGGUAACAUGGCUUCUUUCUUGGCUCUCUCCUUCAUUUUGCUAUCACUGAGAAAUAUCCUCAAAAAGGGUAUGCAUGGUAGGCAAAUUUUCUGAAUUCUUCCAAGUCCAAAAAUGUCUUUAUUCUUUCCUAAUACUUAAUUCAUAGAUUGGCUAUGAAACUUUUGUGUCAAAAUAACUUUUCCUCAGAAUUUUGAAAGCAUCUUUCUAUUGUACUCAAACAACCCCAUGUGACUAAGCAGACAUCUGAUUCUCUAUCCUUUUUAAGUGAACUUUUUUUCUUCUGUAAAACUUCUUAAGACCUUAUCCACAUCCCAAGUGUUCUGAAAUCUCCUAAGAAUAUCCCUGUGCAGGUAUUUUUAAUCAUCUUUUGAAGCACUUGAUGAAUUCUCUUAAUCUGAUGUUCAGCUCUGGGAAUUUUUCUUUUAUUGUUUAUUCAUUUCUAUCACUUCUCAGCCUUUUGGCUAAGAUCAAGUGUAUUUUUUGUUCAUUUCUUCCUCUCUCUUUCCUCUGCUUUCCAUUUCUGGGAUUCCUACUAAUCUGAUUUUGGAUCUUCCAGAUUUAUCAUAUCUUAUCUUUCAUAUUUUGGUGACUAUUUUUGCUUUAUAUUUUUAAAUAUAUAUUUUUAAAUAUAUAUAUUUAACACAUAUUUUAAUAUGUGCUUAUCUCAAUUUUUUUUUCAAAAUCACUACUUUCCCUCUACUAUCUGGUAUCUUGGAUGUCCAUUCAUAUUUAAGAACAAAGGUCUGGGUUUAUUAUUCUAGAUAACUGAUUGAGGUUGCCUCUGUACUAUUUUUAGGUAUGUCUUCCCCUGAGCGGGAAGAGUGACUAUGUGAUCAUGGACUGCAAUAUUUUUAAAUGUUAGUGGACAGGAAGGCAACGAGAGUGAAGACAGUGGUAGAAGCCUCAGUUUUCUCCAGACCAUUUGAGUUAUGCAGAACACUGCUUGUCCAACUCUUUUACAUCAUGAAAUACAUGGGAAAAAAUUUUAAUUGGGGUGCUUGAACUGCUCUUAGCUAGAGAAGAUCCAUCAGCUGGUCUAGGUGCUCCACAGCCCUCAGGCCUCUGAGCUGCACUACAUAUUGAGGGAGGAGAGGAUGUACCUUUUGCAUUACGUUGACCAACCUUCAAACCAUCACUUCAACUUUCUGCAGUCUUUGAUUGCCGGCUUGAGCCCAAACAUCUUUUUCAUUUCCCAUAUGUCCACCAGUCAGCUACUUCCUGCAUGAUGUCUCCUUCUUCACAGUUCUCUGUGUUCCAUCUUCCAGAAAUUUGUUAAACUCUCAUCUUCUUAUAACCUUUGCCUCCCUUUCUCCUACUUGUUAUGAAUUUCUAGCCCAACCGCUCUGCUGUGAUCUCAAUGGAAUUGGGGAUGGAGGGGAGGUGAAUAAAUAUGCUUGAUUUGCCA